ACGGGGCUAAACCAUGCACCGAAGCUGCGGCAGCGACACUGUGUGUUGUUGGGUAGGGGAGCGUUCUGUAAGCCUGCGAAGGUGGCCUGUGAGGGUUGCUGGAGGUAUCAGAAGUGCGAAUGCUGACAUAAGUAACGAUAAAGCGGGUGAAAAGCCCGCUCGCCGGAAGACCAAGGGUUCCUGUCCAACGUUAAUCGGGGCAGGGUGAGUCGACCCCUAAGGCGAGGCCGAAAGGCGUAGUCGAUGGGAAACGGGUUAAUAUUCCCGUACUUGGUGUUACUGCGAAGGGGGGACGGAGAAGGCUAUGUUGGCCGGGCGACGGUUGUCCCGGUUUAAGCGUGUAGGUGUGUGUUCCAGGUAAAUCCGGUUCACUUUAACACUGAGGCGUGACGACGAGGCACUACGGUGCUGAAGCAACAAAUGCCCUGCUUCCAGGAAAAGCCUCUAAGCAUCAGGUAACAUCAAAUCGUACCCCAAACCGACACAGGUGGUCAGGUAGAGAAUACCAAGGCGCUUGAGAGAACUCGGGUGAAGGAACUAGGCAAAAUGGUGCCGUAACUUCGGGAGAAGGCACGCUGACACGUAGGUGAAGUGAUUUACUCAUGGAGCUGAAGUCAGUCGAAGAUACCAGCUGGCUGCAACUGUUUAUUAAAAACACAGCACUGUGCAAACACGAAAGUGGACGUAUACGGUGUGACGCCUGCCCGGUGCCGGAAGGUUAAUUGAUGGGGUCAGCGCAAGCGAAGCUCCUGAUCGAAGCCCCGGUAAACGGCGGCCGUAACUAUAACGGUCCUAAGGUAGCGAAAUUCCUUGUCGGGUAAGUUCCGACCUGCACGAAUGGCGUAAUGAUGGCCAGGCUGUCUCCACCCGAGACUCAGUGAAAUUGAACUCGCUGUGAAGAUGCAGUGUACCCGCGGCAAGACGGAAAGACCCCGUGAACCUUUACUAUAGCUUGACACUGAACAUUGAGCCUUGAUGUGUAGGAUAGGUGGGAGGCUUUGAAGUGUGGACGCCAGUCUGCAUGGAGCCGACCUUGAAAUACCACCCUUUAAUGUUUGAUGUUCUAACGUGGACCCGUUACCCGGGUUGCGGACAGUGUCUGGUGGGUAGUUUGACUGGGGCGGUCUCCUCCUAAAGAGUAACGGAGGAGCACGAAGGUUGGCUAAUCCUGGUCGGACAUCAGGAGGUUAGUGCAAUGGCAUAAGCCAGCUUGACUGCGAGCGUGACGGCGCGAGCAGGUGCGAAAGCAGGUCAUAGUGAUCCGGUGGUUCUGAAUGGAAGGGCCAUCGCUCAACGGAUAAAAGGUACUCCGGGGAUAACAGGCUGAUACCGCCCAAGAGUUCAUAUCGACGGCGGUGUUUGGCACCUCGAUGUCGGCUCAUCACAUCCUGGGGCUGAAGUAGGUCCCAAGGGUAUGGCUGUUCGCCAUUUAAAGUGGUACGCGAGCUGGGUUUAGAACGUCGUGAGACAGUUCGGUCCCUAUCUGCCGUGGGCGCUGGAGAACUGAGGGGGGCUGCUCCUAGUACGAGAGGACCGGAGUGGACGCAUCACUGGUGUUCGGGUUGUCAUGCCAAUGGCACUGCCCGGUAGCUAAAUGCGGAAGAGAUAAGUGCUGAAAGCAUCUAAGCACGAAACUUGCCCCGAG
rnacentral:rRNA from 2 species